UUCAUCCAGCCGCCAGAGGGCGCCAUCUCCUCAUUACUGACUGUGCUCUUCUUCUUCCUCCACUUCCUGUAGCUUCCUGUUUAAAUCCAGCUCAGUUGUACAACAGAUUGCGAAGUAUUGCCAGCUAACCCCUGUCUCUACCAAGCGUUUUCUCAUUGCCACAUUGAUUGCCUUGUGUAUGUUCUUUGCCUGUUCUUGACCUUGUUUGUUGGAUUACGAUUUGGAUUUGUUUGCUGUACGGACUGCUUGCUGUGAUAUUGACCUUGCUUGUUAUUUGACCACGAUUAUCUGCCUUACCUUGUGUGUGGUUUUCUCCACAAUAAACAUCUCCGCAAAUGGAUUCAAAUACUCAACCGAGUCAGUCAUCCUUACAGUAAAAGCCGAGCUCCUGGAGACGUGCCGUCACUGAAAUGACCAGAACACACAAACACACUUGCUACACUCCGUUGCUGCACCGGAAAACAAACUGCAUCCACUGUUCAUGUAACGCUGGGUUCUUUGGGAAGCUGAACACGAGCAUUUACAUACAGAGACACUUUGCAUGAGAGUGUUUAUAGAGCUAUGAGUUUAACACUUCAUGACUGAGAGCAGAACAGAACACAAUCUUCAUCAUCACACAAGACACAACAACAACAAUGAACAACAUCAUCAUCCUCAUCUGGACAUUGCUCUGCUGUAUACAAGGCUCCAGUGGACAGAUCACAGUUACUCAAACUCCUGCAGUUCAAACAAACUGAACUAGGAAAGACUGUAGUGAUGAGAUGCACCGCCAGCACUCCUUUAACAGGCUGCAGCCCACCAUGUCUGUCCUGGUACUUACAGAAACCUGGAGAAGCUCCUAAACUCCUCAUAUAUGUAACAUCAUACCAUUACACUGGAACUCCUUCUAGAUUCAGUGGCAGUGGAUCUGGCAGUGAUUUCUCUCUGACCAUCAGUGGAGUCCAGACUGAAGAUACAGGAGAUUAUUACUGUCAGAGUGUACACUAUAUCAGUAGUAGCUAUGUGUUCACACAGUGAUGAAGAGUCGUACAAAAACCUCCGUCAGUCAGAGUCACAGUGACUGCACUGAUACAGCUGAGACACACUGCAGCUGAUGAUGAGAGGAUCACAAACAAAUAGCAAGCUUUAAUUUUAAUCAAUCAUGUUAUUAAUUAUUGAACUAAAUAUUUGAGGUAGAUAUAAUCAUGAAGGAUGUAACAUAUGGUCAAAGUUACAAUACUGAUCAUUAAUCUUAAAAGCUACUGCUAUUUUUAUGAUUCUUUCUUUCUUUCUUUUCAGAUGAGAAAUAAUUGAUCAGGCAUACGAUGACCUUCUAUGAAUAUUUUUUUUAUUUCUCAGUGUUAUGACCCAGAGGAAGAAAAGUUUAUUCUAAGUGAAGAUCCAAAAUACAAAGUACCCUGCUGAAAAAAAAAAAAAGAAACAUUACAAACCAUCAGCUAUUAAUCAAUAAAACUAUCUAACCCUACCAUGUUUUUACCACAAUAACUGUAGUUUUACUAUGGUAUAGUAAUAGCAUCAUAAUCACCAAACUAACUAUGGUUGUACCACUGUAAUGGUAGUUUUUUGAUGUGCUUUUAUAUGACAGACAUCAAAGUAAUCACAUUUACUGUAUCAGGCUUUUAAUACCUUUUUAUGUAAAUCCAAUAAAAUAAA